rnacentral:rRNA from 1 species
UCAGGAUGAACGCUGGCGGCGUGCCUAACACAUGCAAGUCGAGCGAUCUCUUCGGAGAAGAGCGGCGGACGGGUGAGUAACGCGUGGGUAACCUGCCUCAUACACAUGGAUAACAUACCGAAAGGUAUGCUAAUACAGGAUAAUAUAAGAGAUUCACAUGGAUUUCUAUCAAAGCUCCGGCGGUAUGAGAUGGACCCGCGUCUGAUUAGCUAGUUGGUAAGGUAACGGCUUACCAAGGCGACGAUCAGUAGCCGACCCUGAGAGGGUGAUCGGCCACAUUGGAACUGAGACACGGUCCAAACUCCUACGGGAGGCAGCAGUGGGGAAUAUUGCACAAUGGGCGAAAGCCUGAAUGCAGCAACGCCGCGUGAGUGAUGAAGGCCUUCGGGUCGUAAAACUCUGUCCUCAAGGAAGAUAAUGACGGUACUUGAGGAGGAAGCCCCGGCUAACUACGUGCCAGCCGCCGC